GAAGUCCUCGUGUUGCAUCCCUCU
rnacentral:siRNA from 1 species